GAUGAACGCUGGCGGCGUGCUUAACACAUGCAAGUCGAACGGGAAUUAUUUUAUUGAAACUUCGGUCGAUUUAAUUUAAUUCUAGUGGCGGACGGGUGAGUAACGCGUUGUUAACCUGCCUUAUACAGGGGGAUAACAUUCAGAAAUGGCUGCUAAUACCGCAUAAGCGCACAGAGCUGCAUGGCUCAGUGUGAAAAACUCCGGUGGUAUAAGAUGGACCCGCGUUGGAUUAGCUUGUUGGCAGGGUAACGGCCUACCAAGGCGACGAUCCAUAGCGGGCCUGAGAGGGUGACCGGCCACAUUGGGACUGAGACACGGCCCAGACUCUACGGGAGGAAGCAGUGGGGAAUAUUGCACAAUGGGGGAAACCAUGAUGCAGCGACGCCGCGUGAAGGAAGAAGUAUCUCGGUAUGUAAACUUCUAUCAGCAGGGAAGAUAGUGACGGUACCUGACGAAGAAGCCCCGGCUAACUACGUG
rnacentral:rRNA from 1 species